rfam:Triticum aestivum genome assembly, contig: Triticum_aestivum_CS42_TGACv1_scaffold_133180_2BL
AUGAUACUCCCUCCAUCCCAAAAUUAUUGUCUUAGAUUUUUCUAGAUACGGAUGUAUCUAACACUAAAAUGUAACUAGAUACAUCCAUAUUUAGACUAAUGUAAGACAACAAUUUUGGGACGGAGGGAGUAUUUG